GAUGAACGCUGGCGGCGUGCCUAAUACAUGCAAGUCGAGCGAAUGGAUUAAGAGCUUGCUCUUAUGAAGUUAGCGGCGGACGGGUGAGUAACACGUGGGUAACCUGCCCAUAAGACUGGGAUAACUCCGGGAAACCGGGGCUAAUACCGGAUAACAUUUUGAACCGCAUGGUUCGAAAUUGAAAGGCGGCUUCGGCUGUCACUUAUGGAUGGACCCGCGUCGCAUUAGCUAGUUGGUGAGGUAACGGCUCACCAAGGCAACGAUGCGUAGCCGACCUGGGAGGGAGAUCGGCCACACGGGGACUGAGACACGGCCCAGACUCCUACGGGAGGCAGCAGUAGGGAAUCUUCCGCAAUGGACGAAAGUCUGACGGAGCAACGCCGCGUGAGUGAUGAAGGCUUUCGGGUCGUAAAACUCUGUUGUUAGGGAAGAACAAGUGCUAGUUGAAUAAGCUAGCACCUUGACGGUACCUAACCAGAAAGCCACGGCUAACUACGUGCCAGCCGCCGCGGUAA
rnacentral:rRNA from 1 species